UACCAGCACCCCGAGUGGUCGGGACGUUUAUUGGGCCUAAAGCAUCCGUAGCCGGUUCUACAAGUCUUCCGUUAAAUCCACCUGCUUAACAGAUGGGCUGCGGAAGAUACUAUAGAGCUAGGAGGCGGGAGAGGCAAGCGGUACUCGAUGGGUAGGGGUAAAAUCCGUUGAUCCAUUGAAGACCACCAGUGGCGAAGGCGACUACCUGGCCUGUUCUUGACGCUGAGGCGCGAAAGCUAGGGGAGCAAACGGG
rnacentral:rRNA from 1 species